rnacentral:rRNA from 1 species
GACGAAUGCUGGCGGCGUGCUUAAUACAUGCAAGUCUUAGGGGUUACUUCCCUUCGGGAAGUGAUCACUGGCGCACGGGUGAGUAACACGUAAGUAAUCUGCCCUUGGGUCUGGCAUAACUCCGGGAAACCGGGGCUAAUUCCAGAUUAUAUCGAAAGAUCAAAGCCUUCGGGCGCCCAAGGAUGAGCUUGCGUCUGAUUAGCUUGUUGGCGGGGUAAUGGCCCACCAAGGCGACGANCAGUAGCCGGUCUGAGAGGAUGAUCGGCCACAUUGGGGACUGAGACACGGCCCAGACUCCUACGGGGAGGCAGCAGUAAGGAAUAUUGCGCAAUGGACGAAAGUCUGACGCAGCAAC